rnacentral:rRNA from 1 species
UACGUAGGGGGCAAGCGUUGUCCGGAAUUAUUGGGCGUAAAGAGCGUGUAGGCGGUCCGGUAAGUCGGCUGUGAAAGUCCAGGGCUCAACCCUGGAAAGCGGGUGGAUACUGCCGGGCUAGAAUCCGGAAGAGGCGAGUGGAAUUCCUGGUGUAGCGGUGAAAUGCGCAGAUAUCAGGAGGAACACCUAUUGCGAAGGCAGCUCGCUGGGACGUAACUGACGCUGAGACGCGAAAGCGUGGGGAGCAAACAGG